rnacentral:rRNA from 1 species
GAACGCUGGAGGCGUGCCUAAUACAUUCAAGUCGAGAGCAGGAAACUGACGAAACUCUUCGGAGGGAACCCAGUGGAAUGAGGGGCGGACGGUUGAGUAACACGUAUGGAACCUGCCUCAAGGAUUGGGAUAACUCCGAGAAAUCGGAGAUAAUACCGGAUAGUUAAUCGGACCGCAUGGUUCAAUGAUGAAAGGCUCUUCGGCGUCACGUUGAGCUGGCCUUGCGGAGCUUUAGCUAGUAGGUGGGGUAACGGCGCACCAAGGCGACCAUGCAAAGCCGACGU